CCCAGUAAACGGCGGCCGUAACUAUAACGGUCCUAAGGUAGCGAAAUUCCUUGUCAGGUAAGUUCUGACCCGCACGAAUGGCGUAAUGACUUGGGCACUGUCUCAACUGCAAAUCCGGCGAAGUUGUAGUGCGAGUGAAGAUGCUCGCUACCCGCGAUUGGACGGAAAGACCCCGUAGAGCUUUACUGUAGCUUAGCAUUGAGUUUCGAUAUUGUCUGUACAGGAUAGGUGGGAGACUGAGAAGCUAGGGCGUCAGCCUUAGUGGAGUCAACCUUGGGAUACCACCCUGACAGUAUUGGGAUUCUAACCGGACGCCAUGAAUCUGGUGACGGGACAUUGUUAGGUGGGCAGUUUGACUGGGGCGGUCGCCUCCUAAAAAGUAACGGAGGCGCCCAAAGGUUCCCUCAGAACGGUCGGAAAUCGUUCGAAGAGUGCAAAGGCAGAAGGGAGCCUGACUGCGACACCCACAAGUGGAGCAGGGACGAAAGUCGGGCUUAGUGAUCCGGUGGUACCUCGUGGGAGGGCCAUCGCUCAACGGAUAAAAGCUACCUCGGGGAUAACAGGCUGAUCUCCCCCAAGAGUCCACAUCGACGGGGAGGUUUGGCACCUCGAUGUCGGCUCGUCGCAUCCUGGGGCUGUAGUAGGUCCCAAGGGUUGGGCUGUUCGCCCAUUAAAGCGGCACGCGAGCUGGGUUCAGAACGUCGUGAGACAGUUCGGUCCCUAUCCGUCGCGGGCGUAGGAAAUUUGAGAGGAGCUGUCCUUAGUACGAGAGGACCGGGAUGGACUGACCUCUGGUGCACCAGUUGUUCCGCCAGGAGCAUAGCUGGGUAGCUAAGUCGGGAAGGGAUAAACGCUGAAAGCAUCUAAGCGUGAAGCCCCCCUCAAGAUGAGAUUUCCCAUAGCAUAAGCUAGUAAGACCCCUUGAAGAACACAAGGUUGAUAGGUCAGAGGUGUAAGUGUGGUAACAUAUUUAGCUGACUGAUACUAAUAGGUCGAGGGCUUGACCAA
rnacentral:rRNA from 1 species